AUUGAACGCUGGCGGCAUGCCUUACACAUGCAAGUCGAACGGUAACAGGUCUUCGGAUGCUGACGAGUGGCGAACGGGUGAGUAAUACAUCGGAACGUGCCCGAUCGUGGGGGAUAACGGAGCGAAAGCUUUGCUAAUACCGCAUACGAUCUACGGAUGAAAGCAGGGGACCGCAAGGCCUUGCGCGGACGGAGCGGCCGAUGGCAGAUUAGGUAGGUGGUGGGAUAAAAGCUUACCAAGCCGACGAUCUGGAGCUGGGCUGAGAGGACGACCAGCCACACUGGUACUGGGACCAGGCCCAGACUCCUACGGGAGGCAGCAGUGGGGAAUUUUGGACAAUGGGCGCAAGCCUGAUCCAGCCAUGCCGCGUGCAGGAUGAAGGCCUUCGGGUUGUAAACUGCUUUUGUACGGAACGAAAAGACUCUGGUUAAUACCUGGGGUCCAUGACGGUACCGUAAGAAUAAGCACCGGCUAACUACGUGCCAGCAGCCGCGGUAAAAC
rnacentral:rRNA from 1 species